AGUCUGUGAUGAAGAUUUAUCUGUGCCGGAGGCGAGUGAUAUGUUUUGCUCGUCGAUGACGGCGCAAUUCCUCUAAGAAGUUCUGAGCUC
rfam:Glycine soja cultivar W05 scaffold94_6, whole genome shotgun sequence.